rnacentral:rRNA from 1 species
GGGUUAAGUCCCGCAACGAGCGCAACCCUUGUCAUUAGUUGCUACGAAAGGGCACUCUAAUGAGACUGCCGGUGACAAACCGGAGGAAGGUGGGGAUGACGUCAAGUCCUCAUGGCCCUUAUAGGUGGGGCUACACACGUCAUACAAUGGCUGGUACAGUGGGUUGCCAACCCGCGAGGGGGAGCUAAUCCCAUAAAACCAGUCGUAGUCCGGAUCGCAGUCUGCAACUCGACUGCGUGAAGUCGGAAUCGCUAGUAAUCGCGGAUCAGCAUGUCGCGGUGAAUACGUUCCCGGGUCUUGUACACACCGCCCGUCACACCAUGGGAGCGGGUUCUGCCAGAAGUAGUUAGCCUAACCGCAAGGAGGGCGAUUACCACGGCAGGGUUCGUGACUGGGGUGAAGUCGUAACAAGGUAGCCGUAUCGGAAGGUGCGGCUGGAUCACCUCCUUU